rnacentral:sRNA from 1 species
GUUUGCACUCAUCGGGGAAGGAUGAGAAGCUUCGACCAAGGUUCGACUCGAGCGCCAGCGAGAGAGCGUUGCCGCAGGCAACGACCCGAAGGGCGAAGCGCGCAGCGCUGAGUAAUCCUUCCCCCACCACCA